GAUGAACGCUGGCGGCAUGCCUAAUACAUGCAAGUCGAACGAGAGGAAGGAAAGCUUGCUUUUCUGAAUCUAGUGGCGAACGGGUGAGUAACACGUAGGUAACCUGCCCAUGUGCCCGGGAUAACUUCUGGAAACGGAUGCUAAAACCGGAUAGGUAGCAGACAAGCAUUUGACUGCUAUUAAAGUGGCUAAGGCCAUGAACAUGGAUGGACCUGCGGUGCAUUAGCUAGUUGGUGAGGUAACGGCCCACCAAGGCGACGAUGCAUAGCCGGCCUGAGAGGGCGGACGGCCACAUUGGGACUGAGACACGGCCCAAAAUCCUACGGGAGGCAGCAGUAGGGAAUUUUCGUCAAUGGGGGGAACCCAGAACGAGCAAUGCCGCGUGAGUGAGGAAGGUCUUCGGAUCGUAAAGCUCUGUUGUAAGAGAAAAACGACAUUCAUAGGGAAUGAUGAGUGAGUGAUGGUAUCUUACCAGAAAGUCACGGCUAACUACGUGCCAUCAGCCGCAGUAA
rnacentral:rRNA from 1 species